rnacentral:misc_RNA from 1 species
AAGUCGUAACAAGGUUUCCGUAGGUGAACCUGCGGAAGGAUCAUUAACGUAUACAAGUCCUAUGAGGCCGUCAAACGCUAAAUAGGCAAACCCCCCUCAACCAUGUGAAAUGUCUUGUCCUUUGGACUUGGAGUCAAAUCCAAGUCCAACAACAAACUUGAACCUAUUCUUUUAUUAACCAUGAUACUUUUAAACAAGAAAAUCUAUACAACUUUUAACAAUGGAUCUCUUGGCUCCCA